ACGGUUGACCUCGGAUCAGGUAGGAAUACCCGCUGAACUUAAGCA
rnacentral:rRNA from 1 species